rfam:Lupinus angustifolius cultivar Tanjil contig_24334, whole genome shotgun sequence.
AUUGAUUUGUGGUAGAGCGUUCGGCUGUUAACUGACUGGUCGUAGGUUCGAAUCCUACU